UUACGGCCAUACUAUGUUGAAACACAGGUUCCGCUAGGAUCACUGAAGUUAAGCAACAUCGAGCCUGGUCAGUACCUAGAUGGAUGACCGCUCGAGAAUACCCGGUGCUGUAAU